CUGGCCGACAGUCUUUAUGGCUGAAAUAGCAGAUCGGUAGUAAGGAUUGGCUGCUGCAUUUGCUGGAAUAUGGCUGAAAUGAAACUAUGAUCCAAUAGCUCGCCACAUAUCCUUCUUCUUAUCUUUUUUCAGCAUACUGUCAAUUCUCUGCUGCUUUGAAUCCUUGCUGGAUAAAGCAUGUGGAUCCAAAUCCGGAAUGCUGGCUCCUAC
rnacentral:lncRNA from 1 species